rnacentral:rRNA from 1 species
GUCGUAACAAGGUCUCCGUUGGUGAACCAGCGGAGGGAUCAUUACCGAGUUUACAACUCCCAAACCCCUGUGAACAUACCUUAAUGUUGCCUCGGCGGAUCAGCCCGCGCCCCGUAAAACGGGACGGCCCGCCAGAGGACCCAAACUCUAAUGUUUCUUAUUGUAACUUCUGAGUAAAACAAACAAAUAAAUCAAAACUUUCAACAACGGAUCUCUUGGUUCUGGCAUCGAUGAAGAACGCAGCAAAAUGCGAUAAGUAAUGUGAAUUGCAGAAUUCAGUGAAUCAUCGAAUCUUUGAACGCACAUUGCGCCCGCUGGUAUUCCGGCGGGCAUGCCUGUUCGAGCGUCAUUUCAACCCUCAAGCCCCCGGGUUUGGUGUUGGGGAUCGGCUCUGCCCUUCUGGGCGGUGCCGCCCCCGAAAUACAUUGGCGGUCUCGCUGCAGCCUCCAUUGCGUAGUAGCUAACACCUCGCAACUGGAACGCGGCGCGGCCAUGCCGUAAAACCCCAACUUCUGAAUGUUGACCUCGGAUCAGGUAGGAAUACCCGCUGAACUUAAGCAUAUCA